rnacentral:rRNA from 1 species
UACGGAGGAUGCGAGCGUUAUCCGGAUUUAUUAGGGUUUAAAGGGUGCGUAGGCGGCUUUUUAAGUCAGCGGUGAAAUUUUGCAGCUUAACUGUAACAGUGCCGUUGAUACUGUUUGGCUAGGAUUUGGUUGUAGUGUGCGGAAUGUGUGGUGUAGCGGUGAAAUGCUUAGAUAUUACACAGAACACCGAUUGCGAAGGCAGCUUGCUGGGUCAUUACUGACGCUGAUGCACGAAAGUGUGGGGAUCAAACAGGAUUAGA